UACGAAGGGGGCUAGCGUUGCUCGGAAUCACUGGACGUAAAGGGUGCGUAGGCGGGUCUUUUAAGUCAGGGGUGAAAUCCUGGAGCUCAACUCCAGAACUGCCUUUGAUACUGAAGAUCUUGAGUUCGGGAGAGGUGAGUGGAACUGCGAGUGUAGAGGUGAAAUUCGUAGAUAUUCGCAAGAACACCAGUGGCGAAGGCGGCUCACUGGCCCGAUACUGACGCUGAGGCACGAAAGCGUGGGGAGCAAACAGGG
rnacentral:rRNA from 1 species